rnacentral:rRNA from 1 species
CACUCUAGCAUAAAAAGUAUUAGAGGCCCUGCCUGCCCAGUGAUAUACACUUAAACGGCCGCGGUAUCCUGACCGUGCAAAGGUAGCAUAAUCACUUGUUCCCUAAAUAGGGACUCGUAUGAACGGCUUAACGAGGGUUAAACUGUCUCUUACUUUUGAUCAGUGAAAUUGACCUCCCCGUGAAGAGGCGGGGCUACACAAAUAAGACGAGAAGACCCUAUGGAGCUUAAAUCUUAUAGCCUAAGCAUACCAACAACAACCUCCGGGUCCAAAUAAAAUGCUUGCAGGCUAGAAAUUUUGGUUGGGGUGACCUCGGAGCACAAAACAACCUCCGAAUGAUAUUAAUCCAGACAGACGCGUCUAAAUAUCUACUCAUAAAUUGACCCAAACUUAUUUGAGCAACGGAACAAGUUACCCUAGGGAUAACAGCGCAAUCCUACUCAAGAGUUCAUAUCGACAGUUAGGGUUUACGACCUCGAUGUUGGAUCAGGACACCCAAAUGGUGCAGCCGCUAUUAACGGUUCGUUUGUUCAACGAUUAAAGUC